UACGUAGGGUGCAAGCGUUAAUCGGAAUUACUGGGCGUAAAGCGUGCGCAGGCGGUUUUGUAAGUCUGAUGUGAAAUCCCCGGGCUCAACCUGGGAAUUGCAUUGGAGACUGCAAGGCUAGAAUCUGGCAGAGGGGGGUAGAAUUCCACGUGUAGCAGUGAAAUGCGUAGAUAUGUGGAGGAACACCGAUGGCGAAGGCAGCCCCCUGGGUCAAGAUUGACGCUCAUGCCACGAA
rnacentral:rRNA from 1 species